GGAAAGUUUGGGUCCAGCGCAGAAGGACCGUCAUGUUGCUGAAGCUCAAAAGGACAAAAAACAUCUGAAACUGGAGAUCUCCAAAACUGAGGUGGCAGAUACUGCAAUAUACUACUGUGCCCUGGUGCCCACAGUAACAGGAAACCCUUCAACACUGUACAAAAACCUGAGAUGAGGAGGAAAACAGAAAGAAAGAAAGAAAGAAAGAAAGAAAGAAAGAAAGAAAUAAUGUUUCUAUAGAUGUUAAAUGCCAAUAAAGAACUUUUAAAAUGUUCAGCUAAAUAUUUUGUAUUAUGAAUAAUUACAUUUUUCUCUCACAGCUGAUUGAUUCAAAUGUAUUACUGCAGACACUGGUGGCAUUAUUAGUAUCUCAUAACACACUGUAGCAUUGUCAGCAGUGAUGCUAAGGUUUAAUCUACUGACAAAAACUGGUAUAAAUUUAUUAGGAUCUAAAAUCAAACAUUCCUUCUACAUCAUUUAGACAACUUGUACCUAAAUAACUACUGCAAUUAGUAAUACAAACUAAUUCGUAAUCAGUGAAGUAAUAGCAUAAAAUGUACAGCAGAUGGCAGUGUUCACUCAAAUUACCAAAGAGAUUUGAAUCUUCGGUUAAAGUAACAGUUCAAAAAGGAAAUGUAAAUUCAGUCAGAGUCUGUGAGUUAUGAAGUUUGAGCUGCUUGUGAUGAUCCAUGAUGUUUCUAUACAGUGUCUGGUUCAUUCUUCUCUUUACAGGUGAUGCAUGUGGAGAAGGAAUAGCUCCUCUCUCCUCGUCUGAACUUGUUACCGAUGGUGACUCCAUUACUUUGGUCUGCAAUUACAAUGGGACUUACAAUAGUGAUUCUCUCCUGUGGUAUCGUCAAUUCAGCAGCUCCAAACCAGAGUUUUUGUUUCUGGUUAGUGAAGCCAAAUUCGAGCAGCCAGCUGACCCUCCAAUACCUGGAGUGUUUGCUAAAUUAAAUGAGGAGAAAAACCGAGUGGUUCUGGAGAUCUCCUCUGCUUCAGUAUCAGACUCUGCUCUGUACUACUGUGCCCUGCAGCCCACACUGACAGGAAAACCCAAAACACUGUAUGAAAUUAAGGGCAAAAAAACUAAACGAACAAUCUGAUGAACUACACUAAAUAGUAGAUUAAACCUCUAUAUGACUGUGUCUUUAUUGCAUG